AGAACGAACGCUGGCGGCAUGCCUAAUACAUGCAAGUCGAACGAAGGCUUCGGCCUUAGUGGCGCACGGGUGCGUAACGCGUGGGAAUCUGCCCCUUGGUUCGGAAUAACAGUUGGAAACGACUGCUAAUACCGGAUGAUGACGAAAGUCCAAAGAUUUAUCGCCAAGGGAUGAGCCCGCGUAGGAUUAGCUAGUUGGUGAGGUAAAGGCUCACCAAGGCAACGAUCCUUAGCUGGUCUGAGAGGAUGAUCAGCCACACUGGGACUGAGACACGGCCCAGACUCCUACGGGAGGCAGCAGUAGGGAAUAUUGGACAAUGGGCGAAAGCCUGAUCCAGCAAUGCCGCGUGAGUGAUGAAGGCCUUAGGUUGUAAAGCCUUUUACCGAGAUGAUAAUGACAGUAUCGGAAGAAUAAGCCCCGGACUAACCUCCGCGCCAGCAGCCGC
rnacentral:rRNA from 1 species